CUGCAUGUAAAUAUUUUCAAGAAAUACAUGUAAUGGAAUUUAAUAUUCUGUAACGAAAGUUCUGAUAAACCAUGAAUAAAUACCUGUUACUGCUCUUCUGCCUAAUUUUCGUGAUAUGUUUUUAAGUGCUACUUUAGAAAAAUAACGCGGGGACACAUGAUGAGACAGAGAAAUAAAGAAAGCAAAACAGUACACGGAAGUAUAAGACAACGGAAGGAAUAACAAAAAUUGAAAACAAGACAAGAAUCUACACGACAAGACAAAGGAAGGAAAGAAAAGACAAAGCAAUACGAAACAGGACUUUGAAACAGACGAGACAAAUCGAUUGAUAAUCCCAUCGAAUACGUACAUUAGGUAGCUGGAUAGGUGGAUAACUAGUGGUGGACAAGCAAACAGAUAAGACGGACACGAAGGCAGAUGGUGUGAUGGAAGGCUGGAUGGAUAGAUGAACAGUCAGACAUGUUAGCAGACAGACAGACACAACAUCGCGAGAUUAAUUGAACACAGUGAGGUUACAAUGUGAAUGCUGUAAAGAGUAGUUCAGGACCACACUUGCAAUUUCCUCCUCAGUAACACCUGCUACUGCGCAGGUGCAAGUGUGGGUGAGUUUAGUUUUAUAGUGCACCGACGUGAUGCAUUUGUUCAUAUGCAAAGUGGAAACGCGACGCGGGAUUUGUAAGCAAACUUCGUGCGUCCGCGUGCCUGAGGCAAGUCUGAAACAAAUACACGUGUUCUUUGUGCAGUGCACUGGAACAGUGGCGGUUCUAGGAAUGUUAACCCUUGUGCCUAAGCAGCGUGAUACGAAGGGUAGAGUUAUAAACACCGCGCAUUGCAUCUGAACACUGAAUGUCAACAACGAGAGUAGAGCCAACUCCCGAAACGUUAACAUCUUCCGACAAGUUCACAUGACGUAAUAACACGGAAGACCAAAGUAUAAAUCAAUCCAUGACUAUUCUAGAACUUACUGACUGACACUUCACAAAUCAUUGUCUUUUAAUUAUAUGCUGGGCGUUUGGCUGCACGACAGGCAAUAAAAAAAAUAAAAUCGCUACGCAGUG